rnacentral:rRNA from 1 species
AGAAACGAACGCUGGCGGCAUGCCUAAUACAUGCAAGUCGAACGAACACUUCGGUGUUAGUGGCGCACGGGUGCGUAACGCGUGGGAAUCUGCCCUUGGGUUCGGAAUAACAGUUGGAAACGACUGCUAAUACCGGAUGAUAUCGAAAGAUCAAAGAUUUAUCGCCCAGGGAUGAGCCCGCGUAGGAUUAGCUAGUUGGUGAGGUAAAGGCUCACCAAGGCGACGAUCCGUUAGCUGGUCUGAGAGGAUGAUCAGCCACACUGGGACUGAGACACGGCCCAGACUCCUACGGGAGCAGCAGUAGGGAAUAGUUGGACAAUGGGCGCAAGCCUGAUCCAGCAAUGCCGCGUGAGUGAUGAAGGUCCUUAGGGUUAGUAAAGCUUCGUUUACCCGAGAUGAUAA